UCGCAGGAGUGGUUGGAGAGCAAACUUAGUUGAUUCGUCAUAACAAUUCAAAGUCAGCUGAGUAGGGGGUUUCUAGCAGAUAUUGAGAGUCGUCAGUGUCAUUCUUUUGGCUUGCCGGACUAGUAUUAGU